AGCCGCCAUGUCGUCCUCCCUAUAAGACGUGAGAAUUGACAUAGUGUUCAGGUAAACAAAAUCUCAUCGGUGAAGAGUAUGAACACCUCCACGUAGGAGCUUGAUCCUCUGGCUACAGCUUUAAUAAUUGUUGUAUUUAUUGUUUAUAGUUGAGACUUGUGUUAUGUUUAUACCAUUACGAAAGAUGAACAAAUCUUCGCCAGAGAAAUGGAUGAAGGAAUAAUGAAUGGCGGAAGGUGUUGUGUAUGGCGGACACAAGUGAACAGUAAUACUACACCGUCACUAACAAAUUGGAGAUGUUACAACAAAACUUUGAAAAAUUAAACUGUACCAUAACAGCUGAAAAUGACCAAGUGGAGCCUGGAACAAGAGGUGCCACCACCAACACUGCACCAUCACCACCUAUGCCAAGGUGACAUGAUGCAACAUCUUCCCGAGGCAGUGGACCAGAAGGUAUGACACUGUAGACACUGGGAAGAAUACUUUCCUACCAUCACCAAGUGGCAUCAUCAACAUAACCAGCCAACUGAAGUUAACCAGAGAUGGACACAAACUUCACCUGCUGCUGUAUGGUAAGUCCAUUGUUAUUAAUAGCUA